AUGUCGGAGAGUUUGAUCCUGGCUCAGGAUAAACGCUGGCGGCGUGCAUGAGACAUGCAAGUCGAACGGGUUCCUCGGGCUUGCCCGAGGAGCUAGUGGCGGACGGCUGAGUAACGCGUGGGUGACCUGCCCCGAAGUGGGGAAUAACUGCCCGAAAGGGUGGCUAAUACCGCAUGUGGUC
rnacentral:rRNA from 1 species